GGAAGAGGGGCUGGCUCUCAGUCCCUGCCUCGUGGGGGGUGCCUCCCCCCCCUGCGAUGGGGGUCCUGAGAGCCGGGGAGGAUGAGGGGCUGGCUCUCAGUCCCCGCCUCGUGGGGGGUGCCUCCCCCCCUGCGAUGGGGGCCCUGAGAGCCAGGGGGGAAGAGGGGCUGGCUCUCAGUCCCUGCCUCGUUGGGGGUGCCUCCCCCCCUGCGAUGGGGGUCCUAAGAGCCUGGGGCGGAAGAGGGGCUGGCUCUCAGUCCGUGCCUGGCGGGGGGUGCCUCCCCCCCUGCGAUGGGGGUCCCGAGAGCCAGCGGGGGAAAAGGGGCUGACUCUCAGCCACCACAACAUGGGGGGCCUUUAUGUUCAGGUUUUGCCCAAGAGUCAGCUGAUUUGCUUCUUGUACUAGCAGGGCAGUUGCUGCCAAGGCCCUCAAACAGGGGAGCCAUCCUUCAGAAACCCUGUCUAGUUGUUCAGAGACGUAGGCCACCGGCCUCAGCCAGGGCCCCACAGUUUGGGUUAAAAGUCCAGCUGCCAUCUUUUCUGUCUAUAACGCAUACAAUGGAAAAGGCUUUGUCAGAUCGGGUAUCCCCAGGGCUGGGGCUGCCAGACAUUUUUCCUUUAACUCAUGAAAGACUUGCUGUUAUUGGGUUCCCCAUUCCAAAGGUUCCGGUCCACGCCCCCUUUGUGACCUCAUACAAAGGCUUGGCUAAUACUGCAAAGUUUGGGAUGAACAGUCUACAAAACCCCACAGCCCCUGAGAAUUCCCUCACCUGCCUUCUGCCCUUAGGCUCCGGUAGAUUGCAAAUGACCUGCUUUCUUUCUGUUCCCGGGCGGCAUCGGACCCGUCGGAGAGUAAAUCCCAAGUAAGGUACCUGCCGUUGGCAGAUUUGAGCUUUCUUCUUGGACACCUAAUACCCACAGUCCUCCAGGUGAGUCCUAAGUAUCUUAGGAUCCGCGAUGGGGGUCCUAAGGCAGGGGGGGAAGAGGGGAUGGCUGUCACCCAACCCAAAAUGGGCGGCCUUUAUGUUCAGGUUUUGCCCAAGAGUCAGCUUAUUUGCUUCUUGUACUAUCAGGGCAGUUGAUGCCACGGCCCUCAAACAGGGGGGCCAUCCUUUAGAAACCCUCUCUAGUUGUUUAGAGACGUAGGACAUUGGCCUCAUCCAGGGCCCCAGAGUUUCGGUUAAAAGUCCAGCUGCCAUCUUUUCUCUAUCUGACGCGUUCAACGGAAAAGGCUUUGUCAGAUCGGGUAGCCCCAGGGCUGGGGCUGCCAGAAGUUUUUCCUUUAACUCAUGAAAGACUUGCUGUUGUUGGGAUCCCUAUUCCAAAGGUUCCCGGUCCCUGCCCCCUUUGUGACCUCAUACAAAGACUUGGCUAAUACUGCAAAGUUUGGGAUGCACAGUCUACAAAACCCCACAGCCCCUGAGAAUUCCCUCACCUGCCUUCUGCCCUUAGGCUCCGGUAGAUUGCAAAUGACCUGCUUUCUUUCUGUUCCCGGGUGGCAUCGACCCGUCGGAGAGUAAAUCCCAAGUAAGGUACCUGCCGUUGGCAGAUUUGAGCUUUCUUCUUGGACACCUAAUACCCACAGUCCUCCAGGUGAGUCCUAAGGAUCUUAGGAUACGCGAUGGGGGUCCUAAGGCAGGGGGGGAAGAGGGGAUGGCUGUCACCCAACCCAAAAUGGGCGGCCUUUAUGUUCAGGUUUUGCCCAAGAGUCAGCUUAUUUGCUUCUUGUACUAUCAGGGCAGUUGAUGCCACGGCCCUCAAACAUGAGGGGCCAUCCUUUAGAAACCCUCUCUAGUUGUUUAGACAACUAGGCCACCGGCCUCAGCCAGGGCCCCAGAGUUUCGGUUAAAAGUCCAGCUGCCAUCUUUUCUCUAUCUGACGCAUUCAAUGGAAAAGGCUUUGUCAGAUCGGGUAGCCCCAGGGCUGGGGCUGCCAGAAGUUUUUCCUUUAACUCCUGAAAGACUUUUUGUUCUUGGGAUCCCCAUUCCAAAGGUUCCGUUCCCCGCCCCCUUUGUGACCUCAUACAAAGGCUUGGCUAAUACUGCAAAGUUUGGGAUCCAGUCUACAAAACCCCACAGCUCCCAAGAAUUCCCUUACCUGCCUUCUGCCCUUAGGCUCCGGUAGAUUGUAAAUAACCUGCUUUCUUUCUGUUCCCGGGCUGCGUUCGGACCCCUGUCGGAUAGUAAAUCCCAAGCAAGGUACCUGCCGUCAGCAGAUUUGAGCUUUCUUCUUGGACACCUAAUACCCACAGUCCUCCAGUAAAUCCCAAGCAAGGUACCUGCCGUCAGCAGAUUUGAGCUUUCUUCUUGGACACCUAAUACCCACAGUCCUCCAAGUGGGUCCUAAGGUUCUUAGGAUCCUUGAUGGGGGUCCUAAGCUGUGGGGGACGGGGGGCUGGCUCUCAGUCCCUGCCUCCCGGGGGGUGCCUCCCCCCCUGCGAUGGGGGCCCUGAGAGCCAGGGGGCAAGAGGGGCUGGCUCUCAGUCCCUGCCUCGUUGGGGGUGUCUCCCCGCCUUCGAUUGGUGUCCUAAGAGCCAGGGGGAGAAGAGGGGCUGGCUCUCAAUCCCUGCAUCGUUAGGGGUGCCUUCCCCCCUGCGAUUGGUGUCCUAAGAGCCAGGGGGGGAAGAGGGGCUGGCUCUCAGUCCCCGCCUCGUAGGGGGUGCCUCCCCCCCUGAGAUGGGGGUCCUAAGAGCCGGGGGCGGAAGAGGGGCUGCCUCUGAGUCCCUGCCUCGUGGGGGGUGCCUCCCCCUCCCCUCCUGCGAUGGUGGUCC
rnacentral:lncRNA from 1 species